rnacentral:rRNA from 1 species
CCCUACGGGGCGCAGCAGUAGGGAAUCUUCCCCAAUGGACGAAAGUCUGAUGGAGCAACGCCGCGUGAGUGAAGAAGGGUUUCGGCUCGUAAAGCUCUGUUGGUAGUGAAGAAAGAUAGAGGUAGUAACUGGCCUUUACUUGACGGUAAUUACUUAGAAAGUCACGGCUAACUACGUGCCAGCAGCCGCGGUAAUACGUAGAUGGCAAGCGUUUCCCGGAUUUAUUGGGCGUAAAGCGAGUGCAGGCGGGUUCAUAAGU